AGGAGUUUAGGCUAAACCAGACCAAGGGCCUUCAAAGCCCUAAGUAAGUAUAAUUUACUUAACUCCUG
rnacentral:tRNA from 1 species